GUCGUAACAAGGUUUCCGUAGGUGAACCUGCGGAAGGAUCAUUCACACGCAUCCAUCAUUGUUUCAUGUGAACUUGCUGAUGUGGAAUUCCCGGGUGAGGAUUGUAUGCUUCCCCCGGUUCUCCACGGGGCAGCGGGGUGGUGGCAGGUUGAACAUUGCCUGAUCCAUCGUCUGCGCGUCCCAGGGCGCUGCUCGGCUUGCCCGAGGGCAGCACCGCGGUGCUACCCUCGGCUGGCUAGCAGCCAGCCCAUGCUCGAACCAUGUAGUAUCAACAUGUGGCGUCUUUUCUUUGCUGGCCUUGUGCCAAAGCUUCCAUACAACUUUCAGCGACGGAUGUCUCGGCUCGAACAACGAUGAAGGGCGCAGCGAAGUGUGAUAAGCAUUAUGAAUUGCAGAACUCCGUGAACCAAUAGGGAUUUGAACACAUACUGCGCUUUCGGGAUAUCCCUGAAAGCAUGCCUGCUUCAGCCUCAUCAUCAUUUCAUGCCAGCCACAUGCUCCACCUCUGGUGGUCUCGUGGCUCGAGCGUGUCUGUGCGUUACAGCGCCGCGUAUCCGGCCUCUGACGCAUGCAGUGCAUGGAGGUAUUCCGCACGCGCGCAACUAACAGAAUCCAUCUGGAUGCAACUUGUUGCGCUGCGGCGUGGAUUUUGCUUCCAACCUUGUCGCCACUUCGUAUGGCUUUUCCCUGAGAUGAAGUUAGGUCAGCAAACCCGCUGAAUUUAAGCAUAUAAGUAAGCGGAGGAUAAGAAACUAAACAGGAUUCCCUUAGUAAUGGCGAAUGAACAGGGAUGAGCUCAGCAUGGAAAUCGGGGCCUCUGGCUUUGAAUUGUAGUCUCGAGAUGUACUGCCAACGGAGGCGCAGAUGUAAGUUUAUCGGAAAAGACAUCAAUGAGGGUGAGAGUCCCGUGUUUCAUCUGCAGACCUCUGUGCACGGUGUGCCAUCUAAGAGUCACGUUCCUCGGGAUUGGAGCGCAAAGUGGGUGGUAAAUUUCAUCUAAAGCUAAAUAUUGGUUCGAGACCGAUAGCUAACAAGUACCAUGAGGGAAAGAUGAAAAGGACUUUGAAAAGAGAGUUAAAAGUGCCUGAAAUUGCUGAAAGGGAAGCGAAUGGAACCAGUAUGCUUGGGGAGAUUGCUUGUGGUCUGCCAUGAGUGUUUCUCUUCUUGUACGUCAACGUCAGUUCGGAGUUGAGGAAAACUCUGGGGACAUGGUAGCUCCAUGCGUGGAGCGAAUGUGCCUGGCGGAACUCACCAUCGGACUGAAUCUCGCAUGUCUGGUUGCAGUGCCUGCCUGCUCUUGGAGCCUUCGGGUGUUGUCUGCAGCAGCUUUGGGGUCCUUGAGCGACAGGUAUUUCCCUGACAUCAUGACGAUGACAAAAUGGUUUUAUUCGACCCGUCUUGAAACACGGACCAAGGAGUCUAACAUAUGUGCAAGUUCACGGGUGGCAAACCUGCUAGCGCAAUGAAAGUGACUGCUGGGAUCUUUGCACCAGCAACCGACUGAUCAAUUGAGAGAGGCUUGAGUAUGAGCAUAUCUGUUAGGACCCGAAAGAUGGUGAACUAUGCGUGA
rnacentral:rRNA from 1 species